rnacentral:RNase_P_RNA from 6 species
GUUCUUUGCUGGAUAGUCGCUCCGAUUCGCCUAAAUGGCUCAUCGUGAGAGGAAAGUCCGAACACCGCCAAUUUUGGCAGAGAUAGUGGCUAACGGCCACGCUUUAUCGAAGAAAUUCGGUAGGGACGGAGAGUGCAACAGAAAAUAUACAGCCGCCUUGCCCCUAAAGGGCAGGAAGGCAAUGGUGAAAUCGUGCGGUAAGAGCGCACGUCAUGCUAUCGUGAGAUAGCAAGGUUGAAAACACCUAUCCGGUGCAACCUCGUAAUAGGGGGCUAAAAGUCCGCGAUGCAAGUCGGGACUAGAACCCGAGAGCAAUCGAAGGUCCAGAUAGAUGACUAUCCCCGGCACAACUUUUUGGAGACAAAAAGCGGUGCCGGGACAGAAUUCGGCUUAUAGGCAGAGAACAACA